AAAUUAAGCUCAUAAUACUUCCUUCAUUUCCUUUUUGGUCAAACAACCAAGCACAUGAAACACGUCAAUAACAUUGUUGCAAUUGUACAAAUUAAAACACUACUGCUCCACUAUUACACGAAUUACUCGGAGAGUCGUCUUCAAAUUUUGUGUUAUCUGAGUGUUUUGGUUUUCUUCAACAAAUAUUGAAAAGUAAAUAACUAGUUUGAUGGGUUCCAAAAUGAGCUAUGAGAAACUAUUUGUGGACAUUCUUGAAAGAAAGCUUAUGCAUCGUUUACUUUUCUUUUAAUUUUCCACCCGUAGUAUCUGCAUUGAGCUUCAAAUUGUAAGGGAAGCAGUUCGUACCUGAAUUUUUUCAUGGCAUAAUACAUAAACAGGUCCUCAAAUUUGGCCUCAGCUGGCAAGUAUGCCCUCCAACUUUGGGUGUGCACAAGUAGGCACCUUAAGUACUUGUAUAAAGUUGAACACACAAACACAAAUGAUGACGUGACACUAAUGCGACACAUAAAUUUUGGAGGUACCUAGAUAAUCAUUUUGUAAGUUAGAUUAUUCAACUGACAAAAUAAAGACGAGUUGAGAUGCCUACUUGUGCACGCCCAAAGUUGAAUAGCAUGCUUGUGAAGCCAAGUUUGAGGGCUUGUUUAUGUAUUGUGCCUUUUUUCAUCUUUUACUUCCCCACCAAUUUCCAAGAAAGGAAAGAGAUAGAUAUUUUAGCUUGAGGAUCAUGCAUAAAGAUGAGAGCACUCUUUCUAGUUAUGACAAGAUUAUGAAAAUCCAAUGCCCUUUCAUCAGCAAAUUUUUUCCUUGUU
rnacentral:lncRNA from 1 species